rnacentral:rRNA from 1 species
CCUACGGGGGGCAGCAGUGAGGAAUAUUGGUCAAUGGCCGGAAGGCUGAACCAGCCAUGCCGCGUGAAGGUCAGUGCCCUAUGGGCGUUAAACUUCUUUUGUGCGGGAGCAAUAAUGGUCACUUGUGGCCAGACGAGAGUACCGUACGAAUACGAAUCGCCUAACUCCGUGCCAGCAGCCGCGGUAAUACGGGGGAUGAAAGCGUUAUCCGGGUUGUUUGGGUUUAAAGGGUGCGUAGGCUGGGAGGUAAGUCAGCGGUGAAAUGCCCCCGUGCAACGGGGUGAAGUGCCAUUGAUACUGCCUUGCGGGAAUGCGGAUGAGGUGGGAGGAAGGUGUGGUGUAGAGGUGAAAU